rnacentral:lncRNA from 1 species
CCGAGCGCCGGGAGUCUUCUCGUUUUAUGCUUGUGUAAACUAUUUAACUCCAAUUUCUCCUGUAUAACCCAGGGCUAAAAAUAGAGUUGGUGUGAAGAUGAAGUACCUUAAGACAUGCUGAGGACUCAGAACAAUGCUUGGCAACAGUAAUUGUUUAAUACAUGCUAUAGUAACGAGAACUAGUCUUUCCCAUGCUGGUAUUCGGCUCCUUGAUUGUCCAGUCUCCUCGGACUCGGAUCCUCCUCACACAACUUCGGGGAGGAAGACAGAAUGGAGCUUAGCAGGGUCUCGCUUCCGCUCACUGCAGCCUUGGCCUUCCAGACUCAAGAGAUCCCCCGGAUUCAGUCUCCCGAGUAGCCGGGACCACUGGCAAGCGCCUACUCUUGGCUUAAAAAAAAAAAAAAAAAAAAUUUGGUAGAGGCGAAGUCCCUCUAUCUUGCCCAGGCUGGUUUUGAACUCUGGUGUUUAAGCGAUCUUCCUGACUCUCAGAUUACUGGGAUUACAGGCGUAAACCAUCGCCCCUACUUUCUAGAUUUUAGUGCAUUUCGUCCCUUGGAAGCUCCCCGAGAGAGGCUGCACCCGGGAGUGAAGGGAGUGGAUUCUAUUCGUUCAGACCCACCUGCGAACAGAUCCCGGUGCCACUACUAACUAGCUGUGUGACCCUGAGCAAGACACUUAACCUCCCUGAUUCUGUUCUUUCAUCUGGAAGAAGAAAAAAGCGAACAAUAAUACCUACCUCCCAGAGUACAGAGUAGAGAGGAUUAAAACAGAUAAAAGUUUGCGAAACCUCUGACGAAGGGCCUGACACCCAACUCAAUAUGUCAGUUCUCUCCCUCGCAUUCCCUCCAACCCCCUGCCGGAACUGAGAGGGGGCCCACAGCGGGCUGCGCAGGGCAGAGCUGGAGGGGAGAAGGGCGAGCCUUCCUCCACCGGGGGUGGGUAGAGCGGGGCUGGAAGACGUUUGGUCGACCCUGGAGCCUCGGGGUCUGCCUGACAUCUCCGGGCUUAAAUAACCGUGCGCCUUUGUUAUUCGUCGGCAGCAAAGUGGUUCGUUACGCCUGAUUGGUCUAAUUGCUUUGAAAUGGGAUAUAUUAUCUAUAAUUAUAGAGCUCUAGGAGAGCCGGCCGGCCCCUGCUUUCAUCUUCCCAAGUGCACCCUCACGUCGCGAUCACAUUAAUUUGGGCCAUUUGAAGGGGUGGAGGGAGGUUGGGGCUCUCUUCUUCUGCGGAUCCUGGCCCUGCUCACCCCCUUCCAAAUUUAAAGACACAAGGAAGCCCCGGUCUGGGCUAGAAGGCAGAGCAGAAAGUGGGGGAAGGGCGGAAUGGGGGCGGACGCCUGGAGUGGGCUUGACAAUUUUGCCCUGGCGCCGGGUGAAAUCCACCCCACGAGGACUGUACCACCGUAAAAGUUGCACCCACUUUGAGGAGGAAUUAGCAAGAAGAAGGAAACGUUUUCACAAAUAGUUUGUAUUUUGACUUCGCGUUGA